rnacentral:rRNA from 1 species
GAUGAACGCUGGCGGCGUGCCUAAUACAUGCGAGUCGAGCGAACAGACGAGGAGCUUGCUCCUCUGACGUUAGCGGCGGACGGGUGAGUAACACGUGGAUAACCUACCUAUAAGACUGGGAUAACUUCGGGAAACCGGAGCUAAUACCGGAUAAUAUAUUGAACCGCAUGGUUCAAUAGUGAAAGACGGUUUUGCUGUCACUUAUAGAUGGAUCCGCGCCGCAUUAGCUAGUUGGUAAGGUAACGGCUUACCAAGGCAACGAUGCGUAGCCGACCUGAGAGGGUGAUCGGCCACACUGGAACUGAGACACGGUCCAGACUCCUACGGGAGGCAGCAGUAGGGAAUCUUCCGCAAUGGGCGAAAGCCUGACGGAGCAACGCCGCGUGAGUGAUGAAGGUCUUCGGAUCGUAAAACUCUGCUAUUAGGGAAGAACAAAUGUGUAAGUAACUAUGCACGUCUUGACGGUACCUAAUCAGAAAGCCACGGCUAACUACGUG